AGCAGCCGCGGUAAUUCCAGCUCCAAUAGCGUAUAUUAAAGUUGUUGCAGUUAAAAAGCUCGUAGUUGAAUUUCGGGGUUAGCAAGUUGGUCGUGCCACUGGUAUGUACUGGCUUCGCUGAUUCCUCCUUCUUGAAGAACUGUAAUGCUAUUAAUUUAGUGUUGCAGGGAAACAGGACUGUUACUUUGAAAAAUUAGAGUGUUUAAAGCAGGCUAACGCUUGAAUACAUUAGCAUGGAAUAAUGAAAUAGGACGUUUGAUCCUAUUUUGUUGGUUUCUAGGAUUGACGUAAUGAUUAAUAGGGAUAGUUGGGGGCAUUAGUAUUCAAUUGUCAGAGGUGAAAUUCUUGGAUUUAUUGAAGACUAACUACUGCGAAAGCAUUUGCCAAGGAUGUUUUCAUUAAUCAAGAACGAAAGUUAGGGGAUCGAAGACGAUCAGAUACCGUCGUAGUCUUAACUAUAAACUAUGCCGACUAGGGAUCGGAUGAUGUUAAUUUUUAAUGACUCAUUCGGCGCCUUAAC
rnacentral:rRNA from 1 species